rnacentral:rRNA from 1 species
UACGUAGGGGGCUAGCGUUGUCCGGAAUCAUUGGGCGUAAAGCGCGCGUAGGCGGCCCGGUAAGUCCGCUGUAAAAGUCAGGGGCUCAACCCUUGAACGCCGGUGGAUACUGCCGAGCUAGAGUCCGGAAGAGGCGAGUGGAAUUCCUGGUGUAGCGGUGGAAUGCGCAGAUAUCAGGAGGAACACCAAUUGCGAAGGCAGCUCGCUGGGACGUUACUGACGCUGAGACGCGAAAGCGUGGGGAGCAAACAGG